rnacentral:misc_RNA from 1 species
AGUGCCGCUGUCCAACCAGUGCAAGUCCUCGACGACAAUCAGCAGGGGGCGUUCGUCGGAAUCACUACGGAUUAGGCGCCGUAUCAGGGACAUGAGCCGGUCGCGCCUGGCGCCCGGGUCAGUCACUAGGUGCUGACUUGCGGCAUCUGGGACCCCGAGAAAGUCCCAAAGUAGUGGCAGUUCUGAACGCAGUUUCGAAUCAAGGGCCAAGACUCGUGUCGCCACCUUCUCCCUGCUGCGUUCAGCCGAUUCGUCUGGCAUUACGUCGAACACAUCGCGCA